AAUUUGCUUGGUGGUUCGUCCAACGUUGUAGCUGCUUGAUGAUCCGUGCAUGUCAAUCCUGCCGUCGAUCGUGUUAGCCCUAGCCUAUGCGGGAAGGGAACCGGACUGAUGAUCACCGUUCAUCGCUUUUGCUUACGAAUCGUACGGUCGAGAAAAAUAUUCGAGUAGUAAAGAAGGGAAAGAAAAGAGGGAAAAUUUUAAUUAUUACGUGUUUACUGGACGCCCUUAUCAUUAACACAGUGAGUUCGAGGACACCGCCAGGGGAGUGUGAACGGCAACAAUGGCUUCCCUCCACCUCUCUUCUUCCCACGCUCGGCUGCUCCGUUGCUCGCCGACCUCUCCCUUCCCCAUGCUGCCGAUGGCGAGGGCUCGCACCCUGUUCUUCACGCCUCUGCGCUCCAAGUUUUCCUCCUUCCCUAGGAUCUACGCCUUCUCCAGCAACGACAUCAAGGUCGGGUCCAACAUCGAAGUCGACGGCGCCCCCUGGCGGGUUCUCGAGUUUCUCCAUGUGAAACCUGGAAAGGGGGCAGCAUUCGUGAGAACGAAAGUGCGCAACUACAUAACAGGCAACACGGUUGAGAAAACCUUCCGAGCAGGAAGCACGAUUCAAGAAGCAAAUAUUGCCAAGGAAACCAAACAGUUCACAUACAAGGAUGGCUCCCAAUUUGUGUUCAUGGAUCUGGCUACCUACGAGGAAACUCGUCUGACUGAAGCAGAAGUUGGUGAAAAGACCAAAUGGCUGAAGGAGGGUAUGGACUGUAAUGUGGUUUUCUGGAAUGGACGGGAGGAAAAUGUUGCGUGCUCGGAUUAUGGGUUUGGCUGGGGGCUCUUCAUGUUUUUGCCUUCCUGUUAUCGAUUUUGAACUUCCCAUCAUAGUUAAGCUGACAGUGGUUGAAGUGGAUCCUGGUGUAAGAGGUGACACUGCACAAGGGGGAUCAAAACCAGCAACUCUUGACACAGGUGCGGUCAUAAAUGUGCCGUUGUUUGUAAACACUGGUGAAGAGAUCUUGGUGGAUACUCGAACUGGCCAGUACACAAACCGAGCAUAGGGAAGCUACUGUUGUAUUGAAUCCUCCCAACAGAGUGUUUUAGCUUCUUUUUUUUUUUUUUCUUUGAGGGAUGACAGAAUUGUGCAAUUGAAGGUUUUGUCAUAUCAAGAGUUUUGCAGCUUUGUGACUAACCUGACAGUUUUUGCAUCAUAUUCUUAAAAAACAUCUUCCAUUGA